UCGAAUGAUGGCAAUAAUCUAAUUGGGUUCGUUUUAUCCCCUAUCUUACCAAAGACAACUCAUUGUCUACACAGCAGGUAGAAGGAAUUUGUUUUCAGAAUUGCCAUCUGACCUAUUUAAGAUGCUCAGAUAUUCCCUGAGGCUCCUUGGCAUGGCCACAAAGGCCCUACACAUUCUGGCUGCAUCCUCCUUUCCAGCAUCCUCUCUCACGUCUCCUCUCCUCAGUUCCACCCUCAGGAGCUACUAAAAUUCCUCACUUCUUUGACUACGAGGCACUCUUACUCCCAAGACCAGUGAAUCCGAAGGUGGCCCGCCAGCUGAGGGACUAGAUUCCAGAUUGAAUAGAACAACUUUCCCUGUCUCUCCACAUGAAAUUCUUCCCCUGGAGACUGGAGUUUCCAGGAUGUGAAAAUAACCUCUGCUUGGGUGAGCUAUUCCAAGCAGCUGGGAUACCUGUGUCACUCCUGCUGUCUGCCAGUGACUGCCCAGGUGUCCGCUGGUUCCUCCCCAGGAGCAGGGAGGAACCAGGUGGGCUGGCUGGGAUAGGUGGAUAUUUAAAGACCAGGCCUUGAACACUACAGCACUUCUAUCUCUGCUUGAUGCCUGCUGCCAUGUGGCUGUUCCUCCUCCUGCUGUGGCUGAGCCCCGGGGUGAAGACAGCUGCUCCCAACCCCAGCACCUUUGCUGUCUUGGAACGGAUCACCACUGCAAGAGGGGAAGUUGCUACUGUGGUGAAUUCUGCCAUGUGGUACCAGACUGCUGCCCAGACCACAGUGUCCUCUGCAACCCUGGUAACUCACAUACAGGCCUGAUUCCACCUACAGCAAAGCUGGAUGCUAUGGUUGGCAGAGGCAAGCCCUUUGCCUGCACUUCAGGCCAAAGCCGGGAUGUGGCCUAGAUGGUUCCUAAGGUCCCUGACAAUCCUGAGAUCUUGCAUCUUCUCUAUUUCAGGUCAAAGGUGCCUACAUAUUCCUUCUAGCUUUUUUCCCUGAUGUUCUUUGCCACCUGCUACUCCUCUCUGAGCUACUUUUCCAGGUUCCACAGGGAGAGGUUCAGCUGUCCGUGGUAGACAUGAGGGUAGAGAAUGAGGUGGUUGGGUUCCACUUACCUUUCUAUCGUCUUCAGUAUGGAUGUCUCUUGACUGGUACCAUGUAGACUUUUGAGGGCAGACAGGAGUCUGCAGAGAGAUACUGGGGAUGCUGAGCAGCAGCAGUGGGGUUGGGAGGCAGAAAUGAGGACAGGAACGUUUACCUUGUGUUUCUCUCAGCUUCUCAGAUGACCAAGAUGGUGCUGCAGAUGGUGCUGAGGAUGGAGAAGCCACUAAGCCCCGCUAGGAACCACCUAGACUGGAUGCAGAGCACGGUAAGCUCCCGGCAGUUUCUCCAAGAAGGGGUGGAUGGCAGCCUGCUCCUUGCCUUUGUGGCCUCCAGACCCCAAAGUCAGGGAACCAAAGGGAGAAAGGGGCCGUAGCUAGGGCCGAGCUCCACUGCAAUGAUUGUUUUAGGGGUAGGAGCCAGGAUUGCUGUCUGUGGACACUGAAAUUUGAAUCUCAUAUACUUUUCAUGUGUCACAAAACAUUAUUCUUCUUUUGUUCUUCUCCUACCAUCUAAAAAUGUAGAAAACAUUCUUAGCCUAUGAGUUGCACAAAAACAGGCAGUGGCCAGAUUUGGUCCAUAGACCAUAGUUUGCUGACUUUUGCCCUAAAUCAUCCUCCAUUUCUUUCCUUCUGUGUCCUUGUUACUGACAAAGCCACUUCCCCUAAAAUGGGGUCUUUCCCUGUUUGGUGCCAUGAAGCCAAUAUGCAAAACCAAAAGUGAGCCUCAAGCAGUGCAGGCUUUAUUUGGUGGCCAUGGAAUUGAGAAGUGAGAGCUUGGCUCACAAAUCAACUUUUCUGCUCAUGAGACCCAGGAAGUCACAGAUAUAGGGCAUCUUUAGUGAAGGGGCUGAGCAUUAAAAGCAAAGGGAGGAGUGGCCAGGUGCAAUGGCUCACUCCCAUAAACCCAGAACUUCGGGAGGCCAAAAUGAGAGGAUUGCUAAGACCAGGAGUUCGAGACCAUCGUCGUCAACAUAGUGAUACCCCCCCAUCUCUACAAAAAUAAAAAUGAAAAAAGCAA